rnacentral:rRNA from 1 species
GGGCCCGCACAAGCGGAGGAACAUGUGGUUUAAUUCGAUGAUACGCGAGGAACCUUACCCGGGCUCGAACGAUGGGGGAAUGACCUGGAAACAGGCAGCCGGCAACGGCUCCCAUCGAGGUGCUGCAUGGUUGUCGUCAGCUCGUGCCGUGAGGUGUCGGCUUAAGUGCCAUAACGAGCGCAACCCUUGCCGCCAGUUACCAUCAAGUCAUGUUGGGGACUCUGGCGGGACUGCCGCCGUAAGGUGUGAGGAAGGUGGGGAUGACGUCAAAUCAGCACGGCCCUUACGUCCGGGGCUACACACGUGUUACAAUGGGCGGGACAGAAGGCUGCUACACGGCGACGUGCGGCUAAUCCUCAAACCCGCUCCCAGUUCGGAUUGGAGUCUGCAACCCGACUCCCAUGAAGCUGGAUUCGCUAGUAAUCGCGCAUCAGCCAUGGCG